AGGGUGUAAACGCUGCAGACUUGGUGUUGGAAAUCCUUCGAGGGUAUUCAGUGCCGGAGAGAAGUUGUUAAGUCUGCUACUUGGGGAGUACGUCCGCAAGGAUGAAACUUAAAGGAAUUGGCGGGGGAGCACCGCAACGGGAGGAGCGUGCGGUUUAAUUGGAUUCAACACCGGAAAACUCACCAGGGGAGACUGUUACAUGAAACCCAGACUAAUGAUCUUGGUUGAUUUUUCAGAGAGGAGGUGCAUGGCGUCAGUGACU
rnacentral:rRNA from 1 species